rnacentral:rRNA from 1 species
UACGAAGGUCCCAAGCGUUGUUCGGAAUCACUGGGCGUAAAGGGUGCGUAGGCGGUUUGGUAAGUCAGAUGUGAAAUCCCGGGGCUCAACCCCGGAACUGCAUCCGAUACUGCCAGACUAGAGGACUGGAGAGGUGACUGGAAUUCUCGGUGUAGCAGUGAAAUGCGUAGAGAUUGGAAAGAACACCGAUGGCGAAGGCACUUUACUGGGCUAUUACUAACACUCAGAGACGAAAGCUAGGGUAGCAAAUGGG